ACUGAACGCUGGCGGCAGGCUUAACACAUGCAAGUCGAGCGGUAACAGAGAGAAGCUUGCUUCUCUGCUGACGAGCGGCGGACGGGUGAGUAAUGCCUAGGAAUCGGCCUAGUAGUGGGGGAUAACUUGCCGAAAGGUAAGCUAAUACCGCAUACGUCCUACGGGAGAAAGGAGGGGACCUUCGGGCCUUUCGCUAUUAGAUGAGCCUAGGUCGGAUUAGUUAGUUGGUGAGGUAAUGGCUCACCAAGACCGCGAUCCGUAACUGGUCUGAGAGGAUGAUCAGUCACACUGGAACUGAGACACGGUCCAGACUCCUACGGGAGGCAGCAGUGGGGAAUAUUGGACAAUGGGGGGAACCCUGAUCCAGCCAUGCCGCGUGUGUGAAGAAGGUCUUAGGAUUGUAAAGCACUUUAAGUUGGGAGGAAGAGCAGUUAACUAAUAUUUGACUGUUUUGACGUUACCGACGGAAUAAGCACCGGCUAACUUCGUGCCAGCCGCCGCGGUAA
rnacentral:rRNA from 1 species